rnacentral:rRNA from 1 species
GAGUGGCGAACUGGUGAGUAACACGUGGGAAACCUGCCCAGAAGCGGGGGAUAACACCUGGAAACAGAUGCUAAUACCGCAUAACAACUUGGACCGCAUGGUCCGAGUUUGAAAGAUGGCUUCGGCUAUCACUUUUGGAUGGUCCCGCGGCGUAUUAGCUAGAUGGUGGGGUAACGGCUCACCAUGGCAAUGAUACGUAGCCGACCUGAGAGGGUAAUCGGCCACAUUGGGACUGAGACACGGCCCAAACUCCUACGGGAGGCAGCAGUAGGGAAUCUUCCACAAUGGACGAAAGUCUGAUGGAGCAACGCCGCGUGAGUGAAGAAGGGUUUCGGCUCGUAAAACUCUGUUGUUAAAGAAGAACAUAUCUGAGAGUAACUGUUCAGGUAUUGACGGUAUUUAACCAGAAAGCCACGGCUAACUACGUGCCAGCAGCCGCGGUAAUACGUAGGUGGCAAGCGUUGUCCGGAUUUAUUGGGCGUAAAGCGAGCGCAGGCGGUUUUUUAAGUCUGAUGUGAAAGCCUUCGGCUCAACCGAAGAAGUGCAUCGGAAACUGGGAAACUUGAGUGCAGAAGAGGACAGUGGAACUCCAUGUGUAGCGGUGAAAUGCGUAGAUAUAUGGAAGAACACCAGUGGCGAAGGCGGCUGUCUGGUCUGUAACUGACGCUGAGGCUCGAAAGUAUGGGUAGCAAACAGGAUUAGAUACCCUGGUAGUCCAUACCGUAAACGAUGAAUGCUAAGUGUUGGAGGGUUUCCGCCCUUCAGUGCUGCAGCUAACGCAUUAAGCAUUCCGCCUGGGGAGUACGGCCGCAAGGCUGAAACUCAAAGGAAUUGACGGGGGCCCGCACAAGCGGUGGAGCAUGUGGUUUAAUUCGAAGCUACGCGAAGAACCUUACCAGGUCUUGACAUACUAUGCAAAUCUAAGAGAUUAGACGUUCCCUUCGGGGACAUGGAUACAGGUGGUGCAUGGUUGUCGUCAGCUCGUGUCGUGAGAUGUUGGGUUAAGUCCCGCAACGAGCGCAACCCUUAUUAUCAGUUGCCAGCAUUAAGUUGGGCACUCUGGUGAGACUGCCGGUGACAAACCGGAGGAAGGUGGGGAUGACGUCAAAUCAUCAUGCCCCUUAUGACCUGGGCUACACACGUGCUACAAUGGAUGGUACAACGAGUUGCGAACUCGCGAGAGUAAGCUAAUCUCUUAAAGCCAUUCUCAGUUCGGAUUGUAGGCUGCAACUCGCCUACAUGAAGUCGGAAUCGCUAGUAAUCGCGGAUCAGCAUGCCGCGGUGAAUACGUUCCCGGGCCUUGUACACACCGCCCGUCACACCAUGAGAGUUUGUAA